GAACCUGCGGAAGGAUCAUUGUCGAAUCCUGCACAGCAGACGACCCGUGAACUCGUUUUAAUCUCGGGCCUUGGGGUCUCUCCCUUGUGCCCGUCUCCUUUCGGUCGGCCGGUGCCCUUGGGUUACUAGUUGUGCCGAACAACAAAAAACCGGCGCGAAAAGCGCCAAGGAAUACGCAAACGGAAUGCCUUCCCGCAUCUUGCCCGUUCGCGGCGUGGGUUGCGGGACAAAAAGGCUCUAUCCGAAUCCAUAACGACUCUCGGCAACGGAUAUCUAGGCUCUCGCAUCGAUGAAGAACGUAGCAAACUGUGAUACUUGGUGUGAAUUGCAGAAUCCCGUGAACCAUCGAGUUUUUGAACGCAAGUUGCGCCCGAAGCCAUUAGGCCAAGGGCACGUCUGCCUGGGCGUCACGCAUCGCGUCGCCCCCCCCACCCCAGUGGUGUCGGGGCGGAAAAUGGCAUCCCGUGGUCUGUCGCGGCCUGCCUAAACCCGUGUCCCUCGUCGCGGACGUCACGACAAGUGGUGGUUGAAAUCCUCAACUCGAAUGCGAGUCGUGCGCACCUCGUGGCCGAGACGACACGUAAUAGACCCUGAGACGAUUCCCUUUCGAGGGAGGAGCAUACGUCAUGACUGCGACCCCA
rnacentral:misc_RNA from 1 species